rnacentral:rRNA from 1 species
CCCUUAGAUGUUCUGGGCCGCACGCGCGCUACACUGACGAUGGCAACGAGUUUUUCCUUCGCCGAAAGGUGUGGGUAAUCUUUUGAAACAUCGUCGUGCUGGGGAUAGAUCAUUGCAAUUUUUGAUCUUGAACGAGGAAUUCCUAGUAAGCGCGAGUCAUCAGCUCGCGUUGAUUACGUCCCUGCCCUUUGUACACACCGCCCGUCGCUACUACCGAUUGAAGUUUUCGGUGAGUUGACAGGAGGAUUUUUUUGAAACUGGUUCGCCAGUGGAUUUUAGAUCCAAAUGCCAACGAAUCGAUGGCUUUAGAGGAAGGAGAAGUCGUAACA